UGCCGUCGGAGCCGGAUGCCUUCCUAGG
rnacentral:sRNA from 1 species